GACUCAAAUCAGGAAGAGUUACCCGCUAACCUUAACCUUAUCAUAAGGCG
rnacentral:rRNA from 1 species